ACCAAGAGCUUCUCCUUCUUCUACCCAUCUGAGACAUUCGAACGGAGAAGCCGACGCCGAUGAUCGCAGGCAACCUAGGUAAAAUCCUCAACUGCCGAUCUCUUCUCUUCCAUUCGCUUCUCUCCUAAACUGCCGAGAUCGAGAUCUUCUACCCAUCUACAGAGGCGUGGUUUUGCUUCAAAGAGGAGAAGGAGGUGCGGAGGUGCAGUCGUGCCGAAACCGAGAACUUCUACCUGUGGUCAGUGCUCUGGUUUUGCUUCACAGAGGUAAAACCCCCUUGAAGACAUGGAAAAAAACACCUUAAAACUCAGGUAUGAAAGACAUGACGCUUUAUUCACUACUUUUUUUUUUUUUUUUUUUUUAAUGAGAGACAUGGCGCCCCAUUCCCAUUUCUGGCAACCCUUCUUCGUCCCCAAUCCCCCAAGAGUCCUCCACCACCGCUGAAAGAAUGAAAGAAAAUCUCCUAAUCCCAAAAUUUCUAAAGUUCUAAGACCAGACCAGAGAAUCUUCUAUGUCUGCAUCACUGCUCGGCUCUCGAAUCAUUCCGGAAACAACCAACAAUUGCAGGUGCCAUCACCGCAAGGGCUACAACAGCAAAACCAUAAUGUGCGCCUGCAUCGACAACUCCUGCUACGAUUCUGAUUGGACCCAGGGAUGAUGUGACGUGGUUGAAGGCGCGAGAAGAAGCUCAGCGCGAUAUGGAGCAAGAACCCAUCUUUUUCCAGUUUGGGAGAGAAGAGAUCGGAAGAGAAGAGUUGCAGGAUAUGUUAGAGGAGAAAUCUCAGAUGGGUAAGGAUGUGGCGCUCGGGUAUGGGUUAAUAGUGAAGAUGGGUGAUUUUUUCUGGGCAAAGGAUGAUAGCCGUUGGAUCCGUUAUGAUAAUGUGUCAAAUGCUCAACCUGGUCAAGAGAUGGGCGAUUGAGCCGGAUACCACCCGUAUCCAGAACAGGCAUUUGUUACUUCAUGCUAGAAAGAACUUUAAUGGUUGUAUAGAAACGUAUAACCUUAUAGUGAAAAGAGCUUCGUUAGAUGGGAACAAAAAAAAAUUAGAAGGAAAGGAAGAUUUAGUGCUAAAAAUGUAGAAUGUAUAGAAUAACAUUAAAACUCAGUACAAAAGACGAAAAAAACUUUUAUAAUGGUGGAGGAUAUAA